rnacentral:lncRNA from 1 species
AUGAGUGACAAAAAACAGCUUUUCUCAGCCUGAGUGUGAAGUUCCUCUUCUUUUUUCUCCCAGGCUGCAGGUAGAGCAGCGUGUGUGAAUCACAGUGUGCGGCGGCGGCGGCGGUGCAGCUCCUCUGUUGUUUAGAAGGAGGUCGGGGAGAGAAGGUGACAUCAUCUCUACACCUGAGGCGGCGGAGCUGACACCUCCAGCUCUCAGACAGCUGUAGCACGUGUGGAUCCAGGAGCCGCGGGGAGGCCGCGGGUUCGCAGCUGCUGAAGGCCGCAGGACAAGCGGACACCGCGGGCGGAGAGCCGCUGCGGCCGCCGGAGGAUCCAGGAGAGAGGCCGCUGCUUCAGCCUGGAUGGGGUCAUUUAUGGAGGUAUGUUUAUGAAAAGAGUAAAAAACUAAAACAUGCUGAAUAAAUAAAGGCUGUAGCUCCGGUAAUCUAAUCUAAUCUAAUUCAGCAGGAUUAAAUGAGUUAAAUAAUCUGCUUGAGUUACGGAUUCAUGAUUUAAAAUUUAACACAUUAAAACGGAGAUUAUUAAUUCAAAACAAGUUAAAUAAAUUAUUAUAUAUUUUUAAACUUUGAUGAACA